UCUGCAACGCACAUCACCUCUCCCACGCGUCCCUCGACCCUGACUAACCUUAAUACUUUUACACUUAUAAAUUGAAGCACAUUCUCCUGCUGGAAUACAGAGGAGAAAACUAAUACAAUUUCCAUGGAUUGGGCAUUGGUUAUGUGGUUGUGGGCUUUGGUUUUUGUUCAGUACCAUAAUCAUGGUUGUCUUGGGUGCAUGGACAAGGAGAGGACUUCUCUCUUGGAAAUCAAAGCUUCCAUCAAUUAUCCGAAUGGGUAUUCUCUUCCUACAUGGGAGGAUGGGACUGACUGUUGGAGUUGGGAAGGAAUCAAGUGUAACAAUGCGACAGGUCAAGUGACUGAAAUUUCUCUCAAUUAUACAAGGGAAGACGAGUUGGGAGAAUGGUAUCUGAAUGCUGACUUACUUCUAUCCUUUGGGGAACUGCGGAGCCUUGAUUUGUCCGGGAAUUACCUCGCUGGUUGGGUUGAUCAUGAAGGUACCUUUAUCUCCUACAAUCUUAACAUUCUUCCUUGAUGAUUUAAAACAGGGUUGCCUUCAGUUGUCCUAAUAAAUUGAAUUGCAAAUAUGUCAAGGUUUCAAAAGAUGGUCCAGAUUGCCCAAUCUAGAGCACCUUGGCCUCCGUGAUAACUCCUUCGAUGAAAGCAUUUUUCUCUAUUUGGGUUCAAUCCCAUCCCUCAGGACUCUUGAUCUAAGCUACAAUAAUAUUAAAGGACACUUCCCCUCUGAAGGUAAGUUGAUCAAUUGUAAAGAAAUUAAACCGAGAUUGAUAACAUCAGUUUAAAACAAUAUUUUGAAAUGGAUUCAGUGGCCAUGCCUCAGUCACACUUCCAAACAAGCAAUCUGGAGGUUUCGGAUUUGAAAUAUAAGAGACCGAAUUGUUCACUAUCCCUUCUAUAUAAAAGCAUAUAGAUCUUACUGAUAGGAGUCCUUCACAUGCAUAU